rnacentral:rRNA from 1 species
UACGUAGGUGGCAAGCGUUACUCGGAAUCACUAGGCGUAAAGCGCAGGUAGGCGGUUUGGUAAGUCUUUUGUGAAAGCUCCCGGCUCAACUGGGAGAGGUCAAGGGAAACUACCAGGCUAGAGUGUGGCAGAGGAAGCUAGAAUUCCCGGUGUAGCGGUGAAAUGCGUAGAUAUCGGGAGGAACAUCAGUUGCGAAGGCGGCUCUCUGGACCAGCACUGACACUGAGGCACGAAAGCGUGGGGAGCAAACAGG